AACGCAAAUUGCACUCUUCGGUUUUCCGGAGAGUAUGCCUGUUUGAGGGUCGUUAAAAUAAUAAUCGAAUUUUGUUACUUUUGUAACAUUUUCGGAAUUGAGCCAUCUUGUAUCUUUGAUUUAAGAGGCUUAAAAUUGAAUCAUUUUGGUAUGAUUUGAGCGUACUUAAAAUUUUUCUUUAUUGCGCUUGGUGAAUAUCGAACGUUUAUUAGGAUGACCAUUGAUCAUGGUUUCAUACCUAUAAUCAUUUUUGAUUUCGACCUCAAAUCAAGUAGGAAUACCCGCUGAACUUAA
rnacentral:misc_RNA from 1 species